rnacentral:rRNA from 1 species
UGAGGAAUAUUGGUCAAUGGGCGAGAGCCUGAACCAGCCACGUCGCGUGAAGGAAGACUGACCUUACGGUUUGUAAACUUCUUUUGUAGAGGGGUAAUGGCAGAUACGUGUAUUUGCGUGAAAGUACUCUACGAAUAAGCAUCGGCUAACUCCGUGCCAGCAGCCGCGGUAAUACGGGGGAUGCGAGCGUUAUCCGGAAUUAUUGGGUUUAAAGGGUGCGCAGGUGGCUAAUCAGGUCAGUGGUGAAAAGCUAUGGCUCAACCAUGGUCUUGCCAUUGAAACCGUAUAGCUAGAGAGGAGACGAGGUAGGCGGAAUGUGUGGUGUAGCGGUGAAAUGCAUAGAUAGCACACAGAACUCCGAUUGCGAAGGCAGCUUACCAGGCUUUAUCUGACACUUAGGCACGACAGCGUGGGGAUCAAACAGG